ensembl:lncRNA
CACCUGUUGUGAUUGCAGGUACUGUCACUCAGUGCUGAUCACUGAGCAACUUCACCUGCAGUGGAUAGCAGCUGAGCUGUUUUCUUUUGGGAGCCUGCAGGGAAACUAUGAGACCUGCAGAAAAAGCCUCACCAAAACUGACACCUUCCUGAAAAACCUCUGACUAGUGAAGCAGCCUGUUUCCUGUAUGAUAAAUGAAUAGUAUGUCCUAACCAGCCCUAAUGCGCAGGAUAUGGGUGUAACUUUGAGGGAUGUCCCUAGUCAAGGGGAGAUCCUGUCAUGCAGCCUGCUGUUGUAUACAAGGUACAGAUGAAAAGAUCUUCCUUACUGCAUUCCUGUUGGAGCUUAAAGCCUUUGCAAUGGUUUAUUGAUGAACUACUAUUUUGAAAAUCAAGACUGCUGAGGCUUAAGAUUGUAGUGACAAUUACAUGGUGUUUUGUUGCUAAGUUAACAAUUUGCAUGGGAC